ACAAAAUAUUAAAAUAAGAUUUUAAAAUACGGAAUUGCAGGACAGGUGAAACAAUUAGGAAAAGAACAAAGUUGGAGGACUCACACUGCCUGAUAUUAAGAGUUACUCUGAAAGUGGUCUGGAACUCAACCUAUCGUAUCUCUAUGGAAUACCCAUAUACAAUUUGAUGAGUCUGAGAUACACCUUUGAAACAACAAUCAAGGUCACAGAGCCAUGGCAAUGUUCUCUGAACAAUAAAGAACUGAUUAUGCUACAAACUCUGAGAAUGCAAAAGUGGACCUUUUCCCAACUUGACCCAACAUUCAGGAACCCUCUGCCCAUUUGCUAAGUGCAUGAAUACUGUCGCAUCUCACUUCAU